CAGCGGCGGACGGGUGAGUAACACGUGGGCAACCUGCCUGUAAGACUGGGAUAACUUCGGGAAACCGGAGCUAAUACCGGAUAAUAUAAGGAACCUCCUGGUUCUUUAUUGAAAGAUGGUUUCGGCUAUCACUUACAGAUGGGCCCGCGGCGCAUUAGCUAGUUGGUGAGGUAACGGCUCACCAAGGCGACGAUGCGUAGCCGACCUGAGAGGGUGAUCGGCCACACUGGGACUGAGACACGGCCCAGACUCCUACGGGAGGCAGCAGUAGGGAAUCUUCCACAAUGGACGAAAGUCUGAUGGAGCAACGCCGCGUGAGCGAUGAAGGCCUUCGGGUCGUAAAGCUCUGUUGUUAGGGAAGAACAAGUGCGAGAGUAACUGCUCGCACCUUGACGGUACCUAACCAGAAAGCCACGGCUAACUACGUGCCAGCAGCCGCGGUAAUACGUAGGUGGCAAGCGUUGUCCGGAAUUAUUGGGCGUAAAGCGCGCGCAGGUGGUCCUUUAAGUCUGAUGUGAAAGCCCACGGCUCAACCGUGGAGGGUCAUUGGAAACUGGGGGACUUGAGUGCAGAAGAGGAAAGUGGAAUUCCAAGUGUAGCGGUGAAAUGCGUAGAGAUUUGGAGGAACACCAGUGGCGAAGGCGACUUUCUGGUCUGUAACUGACACUGAGGCGCGAAAGCGUGGGGAGCAAACAGGAUUAGAUACCCUGGUAGUCCACGCCGUAAACGAUGAGUGCUAAGUGUUAGAGGGUUUCCGCCCUUUAGUGCUGCAGCUAACGCAUUA
rnacentral:rRNA from 2 species